AUGCAGACAAGGUCAAACUCCGCUGUUGCCAGCACGCUCUUAUCGAUGGCGCGCAGUUGCCACGAUCGCUCUGUGAAUAUGUACGUACUUCGUGAUUGCCGCUCAUCAGCAUUUCAGUGCGGCCUCUUUUUGAGAUAUUAAUUUGUUCUAAGACUUUAAUCAAAAAUUUAGGGUGCGGCCUAUAUCUGCAUAAAUACGUGAGUUUCAACUUCACCGGCCAUGAUUUCUACUCUACUCCUGACCCUUCUUCUCCAAUGGACCAGCUGCUAAAUGCAUGGUUCUCCGCAGGCCACGUUUCCUGGAACGACCACCUGCCCUCGCCUUCACGCAGCUUUAAUCUCCACACAGCUGGCAGAGAUGAAUCUCAACGACAUGUAAAUUAAUUUGUUAAGGUCAGUUUACUUCUUUCUCCAAGACAUUCAUCUGAUGUGAAUGGACACAAUACUCUAAAAAUGUACAACCACGGAUUUUACAUAAGGAUUAUGUUACAGGGUUGCUACAAUCACGGAAAACAUGGAAUUCCAUGUAGCCUGGAAAAAUCAUGGAAAAGGGAAAUCAAAAAUAUUUCUGGAAUUACUAUACAUACUAUCACCCACACUGUUAAAAUAGCAUUUUUUUUGUUCAAGAAAACAUGUUUGUUUUCACCUGAAAUUUUUAACUCUUUGUCACAAUGCCACCACAACAGACAAGAAGGCAUUUAAAAAACCACAAUAGACCUUAUCGGGUAUCCCACGAUUUUGUUUAAUUAAUAGGCACUUAUAUUGCUGUGAUGUAAAUUGAGACAGAUACUUCGGCAAUUUUGAUUAAUCGAUGCAACCAAUAGACAAUAAAUAUUAUUGUAACUUCCAUGGCGUGCUGUGAUCAUAGAUUAGAUGUAUUCAGAAAUGCGUAGUUAGAUCAUUGCAAGUAAAGAAACGAAAAUUUUUAGAAGAGCCUGCGAAGGAAGCUUGACUAUUAGAUGAAAUCUGUUCAAUUACCAAGCAACAGCCUUACAAUGUUGUAAAUGAUGAUUCUGUUCACCAAUUUAUUACAAGUUUUUAUGUUUAUUGUAUGGGGUUGUGUGUAACACCCUUACAAUGUUGUGAAUGAUGAUUUUGUUCACCAACUUAUCACAUUUUUUUUUUUUUAUUGUAUGGGAUUGUGUGUAUAGAAUAGUUAUAAGCAUUUUGAAAUUUCAGAAAUAAUGUACAUUCUAAGAACAUUUUAUAUCUUUGUUAUUUUUAGCUUGCAAAAUAGCAACCUUACCUUUACUUCUUUGAAAUGUGUAAGUACUUUUUAGAUUUAAUAUUUUUUUUUUAUAAUUGUGUGUUUGUUCAGUUGUGAAUAUUAAAUGAAUAUUAUAAUAUGAAAAAUGAAAAUAAUAAUAUGAAUAUUAAAUUGAACACAUGAAUAUUAAAUAUUCAUAUUUUGGAACAUUUUUGACAGGUAAUUAAUUAAUUAAUUUUAUCUACUUGAAAUAUAAAUGCACAUAAUUAAACCACUCAUUAAAAAGAAUAGUCUACUUAAGCAAACUAAUGACAAGAGAUUAAUUUUUUGAAAGGACAUCUCUUAUACAAAUAAGUUGUGCUGCAAAUAUGUUGGAACCAAUUUGCUGUUUGGGAACUUGUAAAACCUGGAAAAACAAGGAAAUUUCAAAUCCGAAAAUGUGUAGCAACCUUGUGUUAGUUUCAUUCAUGUAAGAAGGCCGUCCCUCUUGUAAAAUCAUGUUUUGUUUUUCACUAACUUAUCCUAUCCUAUUUUGUUUAAGACAACCUAAUGGAAUCAGACACAACAAAAAAUUAUUGUUUAUGUGUAACUUUUGUUUACCCCCUUAAACAAAUGAUGCUGAUUUGUUUGUCUCAGUUGGAUACCUUUCAUAGGCCUAGUUUAAAUUUUUCUACAGUUAUUUGCCACUUAGGAGACAAGCGAUUAAACCUACGAGCCACUAUAAUAACUAACCAGAAGCUUUGAUCUGGUUAACCAAAUUUAUAGACACCCGUUGAUCUCCCCCUCUGGCCUUGGUAAAGAAUUAAUUUAUUUUCUGUUGAUGGCCAGCACACGCUUACAAAGUAUGCUGUUAUGAUACAUGUUAAUUUAAGAGGAGUUCAACGAAAUGAGUGUGUCAGUGCCAUCACGCUCAUAAACACACACUUACUUGUAGUCACGCAAAGUGAUGCCUUGAGACGGCAGCAAAUUUUUGCCACUUGAGGCCGUGCACUUCUUUAACCUGCGUGCAUACAAACACAACAUUACUUACAUCUUGUUUCUGUUACACUUAAUUAAUGAUAAAAACAAAUGGACUUUCAACUAUACAUAUAUAAGUGAUUAAAAUACUGAAUGAUUUUAAGACAUAAAUGAACACAUUAGUACUAUUAACUAACCCAGUUUGGUAAUUAAAUUUUGGGAAUUUUCCUAUGUUCUCCAAGUUUUUAAGAAACCUUUAAAAUUUCCUAGAGUUUCCCUGUCUAUGGGAAACACAAAACAUUUACCGAUUCCGGUAUCAUGUUAAUAGUUAAUGUUUGUAGCUGUUACUCAUCGUGUGAAGCUGUUGGUUGUUGAUUUUCUUUGUAAAACUAUUCAACCCCUUUCUAUACUAUUAGUGAAAUUUAGAAAAAAUGUAACACUUAAUUUUGUAACAUUUUACGUACAAACAAUUAAUUUCAAGUUUUGUGAUUACUGCUAUACCAUGUAUAAAGAUGUGGAUUUUUCCCUUCAUAAAACCAAGAUUUCUCCGUUUUACUUGCAAAGGAUGGGAUUCUGGCAAGCUAUGAAAUGAAGCUGCCAAUUUUUGCAAAACAUUUUCUCAGCCAAAUUGUUACUGAGGAUAAGUUAGUACGAAUAUGAGAUUCGAAUAGGAAAAAUUACCGGACCGUACCAUAAUUAUCGUGCACACCUGAUAAACACAAAUUCCUUCGUGAAACAACAGCCUAAGUCAAUUCCUUAAAUUAAUGCGUAUAAAACAUGGAAAAAAAAUUAUAUAUGCAUGUUCAUGAACUUAUACGUGUUAUAAAAUGGUUUGCAAGACUGUUCUUCAAAAUUAAAUAAAAAUAUAAAUGUUUAAUUAGGAUAAGUAAUAUUCGAAACUGAGAUUAGAAAUUGAAAACAAGCAUAAUUUUGAUAUAUAAAAAUAAACUAGGCUAUAGUGCAACAUUCGGCUUGGUGCAAAUGUUUAAGGAGACCCUUGGUUACACCACACAACCUUCAGCAUUGGGGGAUAUGGCACCAUUUUUUACCACGAGCCCCCCUUAGUGGUAAAUGUGUGUAUUUUGAUCAGAUUUGUCAAUAAAAAAAUCAAUAAAAAAUAAACUGGACAAUGGUGCAACAUUCGGCUUGGUGCAAACGUUUAAGGGCGCCGUCUGGACGAUGGAAGGAAGCCACUGUAGACAUUUACAUCUAUAUCUCUCCUUUAGAAAGAACUUGAGAUUUUCAAUUUUUGUUUGGGCAGGAAAGUAAUAAAAAGAACAUUCGACGUCGGUCUGGUGGAUUUAAGUUGUCUCAUACCCACCUUAACACUUUUGCGACCCCGCCAAUAUCACGAAAAUGGCUCUUUUCAACAUAUUUGUUUGUGCAGUAAAAAUUGUCAGAAUUUAAGGAACUCACCAGUCAGACGCGCCCUAGACCUUCUUGCGUUGAUUCCUGCAAUUAAACAGGCAUGUCACCACGGAAAAUCUUCUGAGGCACUAAUAAAGGUAAACGUAUGCACGAGCGAAACUGCUAGCCACCUCAUGGCGCCCUCUGUAGCUGUACCGGCAGCCGGCUGCUAUCUCUCCUGCCGCGGAGAUAGGAGGGGGGGGGGGGUCGAGGACUUGCCUGCUCAGGGCGAUAGUGGCCCUUCUCCUCCUCUUCCCCCUGUCGGAGGAAUAACUGAACAAGAACGUGUAAAGGAAUUACGGAGUGAUAUUCACAAUGGACCAUUUCAUGUAUUUGGGGACCAUCCAAAGUGCAGUGAACGAGAUUACUAUUGUGAUGGUUCUAGAAGCACAGAAGAGAAUAUAGUUCCAAGUAUGAAAAGUAUGGGCAUGUGGGAUGAAAUUACGUCAGUAAAUAAUCUGGUAGUUCAUCAUGCAGAAAGUCUCUUGAAAAACAUGACAACAAAUAGAGCUGAGUCUUUUAAUAAUACAGUUGCAAAGUUUGUUAGUGGUAAGAGUCAACUUUUCUCUCCGUGGUGGAUACCUUCCCAGAAGUAACUUUCCGUGAUUUCGUGCAAUGCAGAUGGUAACGAACAAGCCAAAAUUCACAAAAAAUUCACAAAUCACAGUCCUGGUGAAUAUUCAAAAAAAUAUUUAAAAGCAAAAAAAAAUUCUGCUGAAAAAAGAAAAGAGGCGCUUGGAAAACCCCACAAAGAAGACUAAAAAGAAAA